rnacentral:siRNA from 1 species
GUAGUAUAUGAAAGUAAACUG